AAGACCCAUACUCUUCUUAUUCCUCCCAAACCCAACAUCAAUACUUCUUUCUUACCGUUCUGGUAGUAGCUCCUCAGAAAUUCCUACGAAGAAAUUGAACGAUGUUGAUGAUGAGAAUCGCGACGUGAAGGAGGAGAAAGAAACCCCGUCAAUUGUUCAUUUCUAGGUCUGUUUGGUUUGGCUGGGAACCGGAUUGAGUGAAGGAUCCAAGGGGGAAUAUGUUAGGGAUGGAGAUGGUUAUGUGGUUCCAUGUUUCUAUUUGAUCGGAAAGUACUACUAGAUUUCCGUAAGGAUAGAGGAAGAAGAAGGAUGGUUAAAGAAACUCAUGAAAAGAUGAAGAUGUGCAAUUUUUAUUGUUUCAGGACGGUGAUGCUAAUUAUUCACUGCUUGUAAACUUGAAAAGGUUGGACACUUUGGGGUGGCCCAGUGGUUUGAGCUUGGGACUUCCAUAUUGGAGGUCUCAAGUUUGAAACUCCUUGACAGCGAAAGCAAUGGUUUUGCCUUCUGAGUCAAGCUCGUCGCACCAGGCUUGCCUACUGCGGGUCACCUGUCCUAUGUGGUUUGCGAGCUAUUGCAUAGUAGCAGGGAUUUUACCCUGUGCGCACCCAAAGGGUAGCGGCUGCGGGUUCCUUGUUAUAAAAAAACUUGGAAAGGGUGGAUGAUCUUCAAUUGUCAAGGUGAAUUUCCAUUGAAAUGUUGCAUAAUGAUCUUUCACAGACUUCCCCAAGUCUUAGAUGAAGUAGAAAAAGGAGGUGGAUUUGUGUCUUAGGUCUCAGGUUCAAGCCCAACACCAUGCAAAGUAAAGCCCUUUGUUUAAGUGGAGAAUGGUAGAGAAGUGGCCCAUUAUCCACCGAGUUUAGAAGUCUAUGACUGGUCCAAAGGGCGGGUUACAGGCGGAUUUCUCAAUUAUUAAAAACAAAAAGAUCUUGCAGAGACUUUUGAUAACUCCAGAAGAUUUGAUGACAAGUGAUAGCUCGACAAUAGGGAUGGUACUGUUUUCUUGAACGACAGGCUCUUGGAAAUGAAGUGCAUACUCCAAAUUCCAUAGCACCUCACCCAUAGAUGGACUGUCUACACCAGAUUCAGCUAAGUGAAAACUAAGUAUUUCAGUGCUCUUUCUCCAAACUUGUUGAAGGAAUCUUUUCUUACUUCGCCUAGAAGAGAUUGAUCUAGGGCAGGCCUAACAAAGAACUUCGCAUAAAAUGGUCAUCAUUAGAGGAAGAAGGAUGGUGAAACUAUUAAAUAACUGUUAAAGAAACUCACUAAAUGAAGAAGGUAUGCUCUAUUUUCCUAAGAUCACUUGCUCAUAUUAUGUUCUUGUCAUUUUCAAAGACAAUUUCUACCCAUUAAUUAGCAUAUAUUGGUUAAGUUGUCUAUGUUUUUCUUAUUACUAUUUUCAAGAUCUAUAGUAAAAACAGGAGAUAGCCCGUGUUUGUGUUUAACAGCUUCUGGUUUUAUUUGAGUCAUAAUUUUUUUGAUAUCCUUACUCCUUAAAAACAAAUUUUAGGAAAUCAGAAGGGAAACAUAUGUGUUGCUCGCUUUCAUUUUGAAAUAUUUUUAGAUUUUUUGAAAAAUGCAUGUUUCGAAAGUUAAUAUUCUUUUUGUAUACAACUCAGAACUUAUAACAAUAAAUUAUGUUAGGUUUUUAUUAAUGACUUCCUUCAUGUGGCUCUUAUAUUAUCGUGCACUUGUUUUAUUCCCUCCUCUUUUAUUAGUGAUGAAUGAAUUGGCUGAUAAAGGUCUUUCCUACGUAAAAGGAUAGUGCGAGAAAGAGAAGGAUAUUCAAGUGCAAGAGAGUAAUGUGCAAGUAAGAUACUAUAUAGCAUUUUUUAAUUAUUAAAGAAACUAGAAAUAGGGUUGGGAAUCAUGUAGUCCUGAUCUUUACUUGUUAGAUGGCCAUUAAAGCCCUAUAUAUGGGGUGUGUAUUUCAAAUUCUAGCUGAACCUUUCUUUCAUUUUUUUGGGGACGAUGUGUGUUAAACAAUACCUAAAGCCUCUAUUUUGCUUUGGUCAACAAAAUGUGAAACUGAUUUGCUUUCUAAGAGUUCUGGAAGGACGACAUGUAUUCUGAAAAUUUAUUUAUAAGCA